rnacentral:rRNA from 1 species
AGAACUUAGCAGAGAUGCUUUUGGGUGCCCUUUCGGGAACUCUGAGACAGGUGCUGCAUGGCUGUCGUCAGCUCGUGUUGUGAAAUGUUGGGUUAAGUCCCGCAACGAGCGCAACCCUUUAUCCUUUUGUUGCCAGCGGUCCGGCCGGGAACUCAAAGGAGACUGCCAGUGAUAAACUGGAGGAAGGUGGGGAUGACGUCAAGUCAUCAUGGCCCUUACGAGUAGGGCUACACACGUGCUACAAUGGCGCAUACAAAGAGAAGCGACCUCGCGAGAGCAAGCGGACCUCAUAAAGUGCGUCGUAGUCCGGAUUGGAGUCUGCAACUCGACUCCAUGAAGUCGGAAUCGCUAGUAAUCGUGGAUCAGAAUGCCACGGUGAAUACGUUCCCGGGCCUUGUACACACCGCCCGUCACACCAUGGGAGUGGGUUGCAAAAGAAGUAGGUAGCUUAACCUUCGGGAGGGCGCUUACCACUUUGUGAUUCAUGACGUGGGGUGAAGUCGUAACAAGGUAAGCGUAGUGCU